rnacentral:rRNA from 1 species
UACGGAGGGUACAAGCGUUAAUCGGAAUUACUGGGCGUAAAGCGCGCGUAGGCGGUUAAGUAAGUUGGAUGUGAAAGCCCUGGGCUCAACCUAGGAACUGCAUUCAAAACUAUUUAACUAGAGUGCGAGAGAGGAGAGUAGAAUUUCUGGUGUAGCGGUGAAAUGCGUAGAUAUCAGAAGGAAUACCAAUGGCGAAGGCAGCUCUCUGGAUCGUCACUGACGCUAAGGUGCGAAAGCGUGGGUAGCAAAC